rnacentral:tRNA from 1 species
UGGCUUAGUGGUAGAGUGCUUGCCUAGCAAGCAUGAAGCCCUGGGUUCGAUUCCUCAG